rnacentral:rRNA from 1 species
UACGUAGGGGGCAAGCGUUGUCCGGAAUCAUUGGGCGUAAAGCGCGUGUAGGCGGCUCGGUAAGUCUGCUAUGAAAGUCCAGGGCUCAACCCUGGGAUGCCGGUGGAUACUGUCGGGCUAGAGUACGGAAGAGGCGAGUGGAAUUCCCGGUGUAGCGGUGAAAUGCGCAGAUAUCGGGAGGAACACCAAUUGCGAAGGCAGCUCGCUGGGACGUCACUGACGCUGAGACGCGAAAGCGUGGGGAGCGAACAGG